GGGGAGCGUUCUGUAAGCCUGUGAAGGUGGCCUGUGAGGGUUGCUGGAGGUAUCAGAAGUGCGAAUGCUGACAUAAGUAACGAUAAAGCGGGUGAAAAGCCCGCUCGCCGGAAGACCAAGGGUUCCUGUCCAACGUUAAUCGGGGCAGGGUGAGUCGACCCCUAAGGCGAGGCCGAAAGGCGUAGUCGAUGGGAAACAGGUUAAUAUUCCUGUACUUGGUGUUACUGCGAAGGGGGGACGGAGAAGGCUAUGUUGGCCGGGCGACGGUUGUCCCGGUUUAAGCGUGUAGGCUGGUUUUCCAGGCAAAUCCGGAAAACCAAGGCUGAGGCGUGAUGACGAGGCACUACGGUGCUGAAGCGACAAAUGCCCUGCUUCCAGGAAAAGCCUCUAAGCAUCAGGUAACAUCAAAUCGUACCCCAAACCGACACAGGUGGUCAGGUAGAGAAUACCAAGGCGCUUGAGAGAACUCG
rnacentral:rRNA from 1 species